CCGGGCCCAGUUGCCAGCAGACCGCCGAUUUUGGUCGACGAUGGUCCUCGCGUCUUUCGUUUCCGUACACGGCUCCGCAAACGCAGAACCGACUCCGUCGGAGAACCGGAGAACCGACUCCGUACACGUCUUCGUUCCCCUAUAAAGACACCCUACCCGCCGCUCUCCUCUUCCCAGAAUAGAAUCGGUGUUCGGUAGGCGGAGGAUUUCCCCUCCUCAUGUCGUCGUGAUGGGUAAGGCGUAGUUGUUUCCGAUCUCACGGUUGUUUCUUCGAUUUGGUUGAUCAGGUGCGUGGGCUAGCCGGAUAGAUCGCUUGAUUAUAUUUUGGGGUUAAUGGAUCCGUUCGAUUCAAGGUCUAGGUUUGUUGAUUUCCCUGCUCUGUUGCGUUUUCCUCCACAGAUCCCUCUGUUUGGGGAAAUAUUUUUGUUUUGACCUACGACUUGUGAUAGUUGAUGCCCAGUCCUGUUGCCAGGGAGAACAUGUCCAGCAGGUGUUUCAGAUUCUCAAGGUCCAGUCGGUUUGCUGGGAGGAGCAACAGGGUAUCAUCGGCAAACUGGAGAAUGGGGCAGGCAAGGUUUGUGUCAAUCGGGUGCCUUACACCGCCGGAAUGCUUGAUCAGCUGUUGGAGAACAUCGGCAACUAUGAGGAACAGGUAUGGCGACAGUGGGUCUCCUUGCCGUAGCCCCCGCUUACAGCUGAACCAGGGGCCAGGAACACUGUUCACCAACACUGCGGAUUUGGAGGUGGUGAGGAGAUCCAUUAUCCAUGAGCACCAAAGUUCUGAGAAUCCUCUUGCUUGCAGGAUACAAACAAGGCUGUCCCAAUCCACUGAAUCGAAAGCUUUGGCAAAAUCUAAUUUGAGGACAAGGGUUGGGAUCUUACGUUGGUGGAAGCAUUGAACCAACUCCAUUGCGUAGAUGAAGUUUUCAGCAAUUGAAUGGCCACGGAGGAACCCGGUCUGGUCAAUGUCGAUCAGCUUUGGCAGCUCUUGUUGCAGUCGUGAGGUUAGCAUCUUUGCCACAAUUUUCAAAGAGCAGUUUUGCAGGCAAAUGGGGCGGUAGUCACCUGGGCGCAGAGCUGUAGCGUGUUUGGGCAGCAUCACAAUGUAUGAACGGUUGAUUCGCUCCAGAUCAGCAUCUCGGGCCUGGAAUGACGUUGCGAAGCGCUGAACUCUGGGCGCCACCGUGCUCCACGCUGCAGUGUAGAAACUGGGGCCAAAGCCGUCCGGGCCGGGCGAGCUCGUGCGGUUCAUGGAUUUGACUGCAGUUUGAGCUUCCAGAUCUGUAAAAGGUGCAACCAGGGGAUCGUUGUUCACUUUUGGCGUACCGGCGUACAGGGCUUGCACAUCAAAAUCCCAAACAGUUUGAUGGCGCACUCCGAGGAGGUUGCUGAGAUGGGAGGUGAGCGCCACAGUUUUUGCUACAUGACUAGUGACGAUCGCUCCGUCAAUCUCAAUGGCUCUGAUUUGAUUACGGCGCAACCGCUGAGUAGCGUGGGCAUGGAAGAAGUUGGUGUUGGAAUCACCUUCUCUGAUCGCCCUGACUUUGCCUCUUUGUUUCCAAUACGCUGCACGCUCUCUGAUGGAGAGGGAGAGCCUGUUCUGACAUUCUUUCCGCAGCAACUGCUCUCCUGCAGAAAGAGUUCUUGUUUCUUCGAACACAUCGAGCAUAUAAAUGACAAAUUUGCAAUUGGAGUGGAGGGUGGGAGUCGCACGCUUACCCCGUGCCCAAACCUUCGACGCGCAGCGAACGGCCUUCAGAGCACCGACCAGACCUCCAGCCGCAUCGUGAUUGAACUGGCCGUCCCAAGCCGGCAACACAGAAGGGAGGAAGUCGGUAUGUUUUAACCAGGCAUUUUCGAAGCGAAAGAGGUUGGGUUUUGGGAUGGCAGUGGAGAUUUUGAGGAUAAUAGGCGUGUGAUCAGACGUUGGUUUUGGCAGGGAGGUGAGAGAGGAGUUUGGGAAGGCGAGGCUCAUGGAGCCGUUGAGGAAUUAUGUCUUUAACCGUUCGAGAGACAAUCCUGUCAUGAUUCAUCAGGAUUCCCUAGCCCUGCCUCUUCGUAGCCCUUGCCGAGGAAUGUAUGUAGUGGAUCGUGCAUUGUUGGAAGUUGAUCUUUAGGUGAAAAAGGAAGGAGAUGGAUCAACUGAUGAACAAUUACUUUCUAUGUAUGUUGAGAUUGACUCCGGUUCUUAUCUCAAAAAGACGCUCACAGGACGGAUUCGCAGUGAAGAUUGCAUCUUGGAUAUGGACUACAUGUUCCUUGCAGUGGGUGUUGAAGUAGUUAUUCAGGUGUUCACAGCUGUUGACAGUCCUCAUCAUGUGAGAUUCUUUGCUUCCAGCAGCUGUUUUGAUAAAGAGAUUGUGAUUUUUGAGGGCAAUUGUGCCAAGAAGGGCGAGCUAUUCACACAUAUUGUUGCGGUGAUGGCAAAAGCAAAUUUGAGUGUUCGCUUGGAAUGGGAGAAUUCAGUUCUGGAGUGGACGUUUAAGGAUGGAGAGCUUGGAGCUAUAAGCUACCCUGAUGACAACUCCAUUCCGUUUUAUGUAAGGGUGUUCUUUUCUCCAAAGAAACUGGAAUUCAGACCAUCACGAGACCAUGCCUGAAAAGAGAUGUGUUGAAACAAGGGGAGAAAGCUUCCAGUGGUGGAUUGCUGAAAUUGGCCAUUUUGAAUACAGGAAAGUAAAAGCAACUUGUGGUGGAUUGUUGAAUUUCCUUUUGUAAGCCCUUUAUCACAAAUGGGAGGAGUUUGAUGUAUGACUUUUGUAGCCAUGUGUGGCUCAGAUACUGUAAUCAGCUAUGUUCGGUGCAUGUAUGACUUUACACAAAUGGCAGGAGUUUGAUAUAUGACUUUUGUAGCCACUGUCGCUCAAAUAUUCCAAUCAGCUAUGUUCAGUGCAUGUUCUGCGUUA